UCCAGGGGAAAAGCUGCAGUUCUGCUCUUGCAACACAAGGAGCAGACUGGAGAAUUUAGAUCUGCGUCACAGAGCUCAGAGAGAGAGAGAGAGAGAGAGAGAGAGAGAGAGAGAAAGAGCGAGCGAGCGAGCGAGCGAGUGAGCUCCGUCCAUAGGUCUGCUAGCAACAGCCGUGCUGCAGAGAGGGAGAGAAAUCAAGAACCAAGUCAUAGCAACACCAGGCACCGGGUUCCGUGAGCUCACUUGCCAAGCCUGAGAUCUGCUGGGGCUGGAGGCCUCUGGGUAGUCUGGGCUGAGGAGAUGUCACACAAGGUGGCACGGGCGGUUCCCGUAGGGAGAAGGUGGGGGGGCAGGGGUGGGAGCAAGAGGUUGCGGGGCGACAGCAGAAGGUUUAACGGGACCAGAUUCUGGAACAUUCGGGACUGCGGCACCUCACGGCCGGACGGAGAUUUGGGUCUGCGCAGGCAGCGAUGGGUGGUCCGAUGGGCUUUGGGACUUGAUGGCGUAGCCCACUUCUUCUUCAUGAGACUUGCAGCGACGUCGGGCUGUCCAGAAGUCCUCCAGAGCCAGCCCUGAGCAGAGCCCACCACAGGAAGGAGCACCUUCCUUUCGGAAGCUGUUGACGCUGCCUGGUGCAUGGAAAGUGGUAUUUUCCAUGCCUGUUCUCCACCGUGUCCACCUGUGGCAGACCCACCUCGUCCACGGACCUCUCCUCAUCUUCCUCGCGAGAAGCAGUCCUCGUCCCACUCCUGCUGCUUCGACACACCUGCUGCUGUACCCCGUAUGCUUUGCCCUUCUUU